CUGACAUCCCCUCAGCCUGGAGGGCGCCCUCCUGGUCCCCUCGUAUCUGACAUCCCCUCAGCCUGGAGGGCGCCCUCCUGGUCCCCUCCUGUCUGACAUCCCCUCAGCCUGGAGGGCGCCCUCCUGGUCCCCUCCUGUCUGACAUCCCCUCAGCCUGGAGGGCGCCCUCCUGGUCCCCUCCUGUCUGACAUCCCCUCAGCCUGGAGGGCGCCCUCCUGGUCCCCUCCUGUCUGACAUCCCCUCAGCCUGGAGGGUGCCCUCCUGGUCCCCUCCUGUUUGACAUCCCCAGAGUUACUCCUUGGGUCCUUUGAGAGAUGAGACACCAGCUGCACCCAGCAAGCCCUGUCCCCACCCCCAGAUGUGAAAAAUUCACAAAUGGGACUUCUUGAAAGAAUCAAAACUUGAGAAGUAACUGAGAAGUAGAAGCAGCUCUUAACAAGCAUCAGGGGCUCAGAAGAGGUAGCUCUUCCCAGGGCAUCCAGCGGGCGAGCUGUUCCAUGUGCCUCUGAACCCAGCUUCCCACUUAGCAGCAGGUCUUGAGUGCACCUGGCAUACACCUGUGCAAUUCUCGUCAACACAGAACACCUGCCUGCCCACCCCCGGUGCUGAAGACCGACCAGUCAAGGAGGUGUUGGUGGGAGUGUUGUGUUCACCAUGUGGAGAUCAGGCGGCGAUUACCGCAUCUUCUUUGCUGACUUUGGUAACCGGGUGUCCAGGGAGGAGCGAUCGGGAGUGGCCAAGCAGUUGCCUGGACUCAGCUUCUGACUCUGCAGCUGGGAGUCAGAUGCAGGCCCAAGGGUCCAGGGGAGUUGUUCAGCGCCUGGAAUCGCCAUGCAUUGCGCGGUGGACCGCACGACGCUCCUGCUCUGUUCUCCCAGGCACAGACAGGCACUUGGAAGGCAGCUUUGCUCCUCUGGCCACCCGGAAACCUCCCAGCAGUUCAGAUGGGACAAACUGGGGGCCUGUCAGAACAGCCACUUGUGCCGGGAAGGCCAGGCCCCGGCCUGCUCCGAUGAACGUCAGGACGGUGGCUGCAGCAGGGAACCAGGGCUGGCCUUGGAUCUGUCCAGUAGGGUCACUGACUGGGCAGGGCUUGCUGCAUAGAGGAUGGCUGCAUUUUGUGCUCAGAGUUGGUUGAAAUGGCUACGAAGUGUGGAGAAUAACCACUGAAUCCCAAAAAGUCACUGCGCUUGAUCUGAUCCAAGUAACAGUGACUGCAGUUAGGGUCGAGAGCUUCUCCGAAGCAGCGGUCAUGCAGGCUUUUGUGUGGCUGACGCUUCCCUUUUUCACAACAGUAAAAAGCUAUCAAUGGGAAAUUGUGGACUUUUCCCACCAGGGACUCAAUGGGGACUCAAUGUGCAAUAUUCAGUCAACAUAAAACUCUUUAAGAACUCC
rnacentral:lncRNA from 10 species